rnacentral:misc_RNA from 1 species
AUUAACAAUAAGAGCAGAAGAAUAGCUUUCUGGUAGCAGUAUACAUCUGUGAUUCAUUAUUACUGUCUCUUAACAAGCUGUUUACAUAAUCUGUGGUAAUAAAAAGCAUUAUUAUUGUGUUGUUCACUAUUUUUGUGAGUAAAGAAUUUAUGACGAGCAUUCCUUUGUUGAUGUUCCAAUGAUCUUGGUGUAUUUUUCUCUAAAACAAUGCUAGGGAAGUUGCUGCUAAUAAUAUCAUGGUUAGAACACCAACACUUCUCAAGGAAUUUGACAUUUCUGAAGAACCAUUUCCAGCCGAGUCUGGACUAGUACUCGUUGGAGGUGGCAUAAUAUUUCCAUUCGAACCUGAUGGUGGUGUUGGUGGCGAUGAAGCUGGGGGACCAAACCCAAGGCUAUUGCAAUCUGCUCCAAAGUAGCAUUGUUCAAAACAGGGUAACUCUGUAUUAUUGGCUAAAUUUGAUGAGCCUUCAUUGCACUGGCAAGUGUGUCCUCUUCCAUUAGGCAAGCAGGAUCCAUCGGCACACCAAAUUAAGUUACAAGGGUUUGAUAAAUUUAGUGAAGGUGGAGGGCUAGGAACUGAUGGAGGAGGUGGUGGUGGAGAUCCAUUACCACAUUGUAAAUCAAUUGUGCAAUUGGGAAUUAGGCAAGAGGGAAAGGUCAAUGGACCAAUCUGAAUCUUGUUCCAACCAGAAUAGCAGUCACACUCAAAACCAGGCCAUGUGCUAAUACUCUUGCAUGUCCCUAGCCCACAGAAAACAGAACCACACAAACCAUCUCCUGAAGUCGAGUUUUGAGAAGUAGCAGUUGGAUUGCAUGUGAAAAGGGUCAAGAGAAGAAUAAAGGGAGAAAAAAGAGAGAAGUUGAAAUUGUAUCUCUCCAUAUUUCUUAGGGUGGCCAAUGGCUGAGGACAAGCAGGUUGGUAAUGACAGUUAAAAGAGUAUUUAUAAGAAAA